rnacentral:misc_RNA from 1 species
CCAAAUGGCGAUUGGGUGAUGCGCCACAUGAUCGCUCCAAGCAAAGCCAGUAACACCAGCACAUAGUAAUAGAACGGCCCGGUGAGAAACGCAGUCUUUCCGCCGCCCCAUUCCANNNNNNNNNCAGCAGCGGGCGCAGCACACGCAUCCCCUGAUCGCCGCCGGUGACGCUGUAGAAUUUGAACAGGAAGGAAUGGAACAGCAUGCCGAAGGCAAGCGUCAGCAUGCCGAAGAAAAUUCGGGUGUAACGCACGCAGAGCAUGCCGAUGACAAGCGCAACCAGCGCUGAAACCACCG